rnacentral:rRNA from 1 species
GGUGAACGCUGGCGGCGUGCCUAAUACAUGCAAGUCGAGCGAACGGACGAGAAGCUUGCUUCUCUGAUGUUAGCGGCGGACGGGUGAGUAACACGUGGAUAACCUACCUAUAAGACUGGGAUAACUUCGGGAAACCGGAGCUAAUACCGGAUAAUAUUUUGAACCGCAUGGUUCAAAAGUGAAAGACGGUCUUGCUGUCACUUAUAGAUGGAUCCGCGCUGCAUUAGCUAGUUGGUAAGGUAACGGCUUACCAAGGCAACGAUGCAUAGCCGACCUGAGAGGGUGAUCGGCCACACUGGAACUGAGACACGGUCCAGACUCCUACGGGAGGCAGCAGUAGGGAAUCUUCCGCAAUGGGCGAAAGCCUGACGGAGCAACGCCGCGUGAGUGAUGAAGGUCUUCGGAUCGUAAAACUCUGUUAUUAGGGAAGAACAUAUGUGUAAGUAACUGUGCACAUCUCGACGGUACCUAAUCAGAAAGCCACGGCUAACUACGUGCCAGCAGCCGCGGUAAUACGUAGGUGGCAAGCGUUAUCCGGAAUUAUUGGGCGUAAAGCGCGCGUAGGCGGUUUUUUAAGUCUGAUGUGAAAGCCCACGGCUCAACCGUGGAGGGUCAUUGGAAACUGGAAAACUUGAGUGCAGAAGAGGAAAGUGGAAUUCCAUGUGUAGCGGUGAAAUGCGCAGAGAUAUGGAGGAACACCAGUGGCGAAGGCGACUUUCUGGUCUGUAACUGACGCUGAUGUGCGAAAGCGUGGGGAUCAAACAGGAUUAGAUACCCUGGUAGUCCACGCCGUAAACGAUGAGUGCUAAGUGUUAGGGGGUUUCCGCCCCUUAGUGCUGCAGCUAACGCAUUAAGCACUCCGCCUGGGGAGUACGACCGCAAGGUUGAAACUCAAAGGAAUUGACGGGGACCCGCACAAGCGGUGGAGCAUGUGGUUUAAUUCGAAGCAACGCGAAGAACCUUACCAAAUCUUGACAUCCUUUGACAACUCUAGAGAUAGAGCCUUCCCCUUCGGGGGACAAAGUGACAGGUGGUGCAUGGUUGUCGUCAGCUCGUGUCGUGAGAUGUUGGGUUAAGUCCCGCAACGAGCGCAACCCUUAAGCUUAGUUGCCAUCAUUAAGUUGGGCACUCUAAGUUGACUGCCGGUGACAAACCGGAGGAAGGUGGGGAUGACGUCAAAUCAUCAUGCCCCUUAUGAUUUGGGCUACACACGUGCUACAAUGGACAAUACAAAGGGCAGCGAAACCGCGAGGUCAAGCAAAUCCCAUAAAGUUGUUCUCAGUUCGGAUUGUAGUCUGCAACUCGACUACAUGAAGCUGGAAUCGCUAGUAAUCGUAGAUCAGCAUGCUACGGUGAAUACGUUCCCGGGUCU